GUUAUGGGAGUGGAGCUCCUUGAAGUCCAACAGAAGAUCUAACAGGUUAGAUUGAGCUGCUGACCUAUGGAUUCCUCAGCCCUAUCUAUUUAUGAUUUCAAACAUAUAGAUAGGUUUGUGGGUUUGCAUAUGUCAGGAGCUUUAUUUUACCCUUUGUUUGAUCAUUUUUUGGAUUGAAGGGAGCUCUACAUUCAUUUCUU
rnacentral:pre_miRNA from 1 species